AACCUGGGGAAGCGAUAGAAUCACUCUUCUCACCUUAUAUAGAAGCCUUAUCAGAUCAACCAUAGAUUACGGAUGUUUCAUCUACCAGAGUGCAGCGGAUUUUCAUUUGAGAAAAUUAGACUCUAUUCACACUUCAUCACUUCGCAUAGUUCUGGGGGCAUUUAGAACAAGCCCCUCUCUGUCCAUUUGCGCAGAAGCAGGGGAACCACCUCUCUAUUGGAGACGCCAAAGACUACUUGCAGGCUAUAUCGCCAAGGUUAUGAGUCUCCCUAAUCAUCCCACUUAUUCUUCUCUUUUUUCCAAACAACUAGAGGAUACGGCCACUGUUAAAACUAUUUCAAAAUGUGUCACUACAAUGCUUGAUGAUUUCAAGUCAAAACAUAACAUUAAACAGUUGCUAACAACUAGAUGUGAAAUUCCUCCUUUUCCACCCUGGUUUCAGACUAUGAUCAAUAUAGACACCUCUUUAAGCUCUGUCAAGAAAAAUGAUAUUAGUGUCCAACAGCAACAAACUAGUUUUUCCAAUUUCCUAGAAAAGUAUGAUGGUUAUAGGCGGCUAUACACGGAUGGAUCAAAGACAGAAAAUGGUGCUGGCUGUGCUUUUGUUGAACUUGAAGAAAAUAUGUCCUUUUUACAAAUUCUCUCUCCUUUGUCUUCUGUUCUUACAACAGAACUCUAUGCAAUUCUGGAAGCCGUCAAGUACACUAAAACGAUAACUUUCUCGCAACCUCAAAAUUUUUUGCUAAUGUCCGACUCCCUCUCUGGUCUUACAGCCAUAGAAAAUCAAGGAGAUAACCCUCUUCUCUUUGACAUUUCUGCUCAACUUCAAAAUUCACCACAUAACAUCAUUAUGGCUUGGAUCCCGGGUCAUUCGGGAAUCAUCGGUAAUGAAACAGCGGAUAUUAUUGCCAAAUCUUGUUGUAAUCCAAAUAGUCCCCCUCUACACACACAUUUCGUUCCUCCACAAGAUUUGAAAAAAGCGCUCCAAUCUCACAUCAAUGAUUCCUGGGAAGACUACUGGAUGAACAACGACAAAAACUUACUUCAAAGAAG
rnacentral:lncRNA from 1 species